UGACGGUACCUGCAGAAGAAGCGCCGGCUAACUACGUGCCAGCAGCCGCGGUAAUACGUAGGGCGCGAGCGUUGUCCGGAAUUAUUGGGCGUAAAGAGCUUGUAGGCGGUUUGUUGCGUCUGCUGUGAAAGACCGGGGCUUAACCCCGGUAUUGCAGUGGGUACGGGCAGACUAGAGUGCAGUAGGGGAGACUGGAAUUCCUGGUGUAGCGGUGAAAUGCGCAGAUAUCAGGAGGAACACCCGAUGGCGAAGGCAGGUCUCUGGGCUGUAACUGACGCUGAGAAGCGAAAGCAUGGGGAGCGAACAGGAUUAGAUACCCUGGUAGUCCAUGCCGUAAACGUUGGGCACUAGGUGUGGGGGACAUUCCACGUUUUCCGCGCCGUAGCUAACGCAUUAAGUGCCCCGCCUGGGGAGUACGGCCGCAAGGCUAAAACUCAAAGGAAUUGACGGGGGCCCGCACAAGCGGCGGANCAUGCGGAUUAAUUCGAUGCAACGCGAAAACCUUACCAAGGCUUGACAUAUACUGGAUCGCCUC
rnacentral:rRNA from 1 species